AGUAACUGCGAGUGAAGAGGGAAGAGCUCAUCAUUGGAAUCUGGCAGUGUUGCACUGUCCGAGUUGUAGAUGAGGAGUAGUCCGUCUGGACUGCAUGGCGUCCAAGUACAAUAGGCCGUCAGUGGGACAUCAUAGAGGGUGACAAUCCCGUCCUUGACGCCAAUGUGCAAGUCUAUUACGAUGGCUAUCUCAGAGAGUCGAGCAGUUUGGGAUUUGCUGCUUAAACAUGGGAGGUAGAUUCCUUCUAAAGCUAAAUACAGGCGAGAGACCGAUAGAGAACAAGUACCGCAAGGGAAAGAUGAAAUAGCACUCUGUGAAGGGAGUCAAAAGGCGUGAAAUUGUUGCGAGAGAAGCGAUUCAAGUCAGCGUAGCUAGGCCCAUCAAGCGUCUUCGCUUUGGACUAGCUUUGCCAGCGGUCUUGUCCCUUGAAGAGACUUGACUUGUAAUAUGUCCAGCCUGGCGUGCACAGGCAGCCCCUUCUGGGGGCCAGUGGCAUGGCUGGUGGAAUGGCUUGCAAUCGACCCGUCUUGAAACACGGACCAAGGAGUCUAACAUGUAUGCGAGUAUAAGGGUGGCAAACCCGUAUGCGCAAUGAAAGUGAUUUUCGGUGAUUGAGAAUGGCCUGAUGACCAGACAA
rnacentral:rRNA from 1 species